rnacentral:miRNA from 1 species
UCUCCAUUAAAUUGUCAUUGCCCAACGACGUGGUGGAGUAUUGCCAUACACACGUCUGAGUGGAAAUACUUAUAGUCCCAGGCCCUCACACGACUGUGUAUUUGAUUGGCCUACUCAGCGCGUCGUUGGGAAAUGAUAAUUCAAUGGAAAGA